rnacentral:tRNA from 1 species
GCCUGGGUGGCUCAGUUGGUUAAGCGUCUGACUCUUGAUUUUGGCUCAGGUCAUGAUCUCAUUGUUUGUGAGUUUGAGCCUCACAUCAGGCU